CGUAGGGGAACCGUGCCCCACUAGUCUGGGAUACACUUGGAACAGGUGCUAAUACCGGAUAAGAAAGCAGAUCGCAUGAUCAGCUUUUAAAAGGCGGCGUAAGCUGUCGCUAUGGGAUGGCCCCGCGGUGCAUUAGCUAGUUGGUAAGGUAAAGGCUUACCAAGGCGAUGAUGCAUAGCCGAGUUGAGAGACUGAUCGGCCACAUUGGGACUGAGACACGGCCCAAACUCCUACGGGAGGCAGCAGCA
rnacentral:rRNA from 1 species